AUGGGUCAAGCUGUCUCCGCCGCUUCUUCCCCCUUCCGCCGCAAAUCGCAGCCGCCGCCGGUUCCUCAGGCUACCGCCCCUCCAGCAGCAAAGGACCACGACACGGAGCUCGUCCGCAUCUUCCGCCGCUACGACACGGACGGGGACGGCCGCAUCUCGGCCGCGGAGAUACGCGAGAUUUGGGGCUGCACGGACGCGGAGGCGCAGGAGAUGGUCGCCCAGGCGGACAGCGACGGGGACGGGUUGAUCAGCAUCGAGGAGCUCGGGGCGCUGCUGAAGGGCGGGGGCUCGGAGGACUUGCCGGCGGCGUUCGCCAAGUUUGACGAGAACGGCGACGGGGUGAUCACCCCCGAUGAGCUGCGCCGAGCGUUUCUCCAGCCGCUGCUCGGCCGGGAGAAGCACACGCUGGAGGAGUGCACCAGGAUGGUCGCCGCGUUUGACCAAGACGGCGACGGCGUCCUCUCCUUCGACGAGUUCAAGACCAUGAUGGCGCCCAAGAGUGCGUGA
rnacentral:rRNA from 1 species